GAGUUUUGAUCAUGGCUCAGAUUGAACGCUGGCGGCAGGCCUAACACAUGCAAGUCGAACGGUAACAGGAAGCAGCUUGCUGCUUUGCUGACGAGUGGCGGACGGGUGAGUAAUGUCUGGGAAACUGCCUGAUGAGGGGGAUAACUACUGGAAACGGUAGCUAAUACCGCAUAACGUCGCAAGACCAAAGAGGGGGACCUUCGGGCCUCUUGCCAUCGGAUGUGCCCAGAUGGGAUUAGCUUGUUGGUGGGGUAACGGCUCACCAAGGCGACGAUCCCUAGCUGGUCUGAGAGGAUGACCAGCCACACUGGAACUGAGACACGGUCCAGACUCCUACGGGAGGCAGCAGUGGGGAAUAUUGCACAAUGGGCGCAAGCCUGAUGCAGCCAUGCCGCGUGUAUGAAGAAGGCCUUCGGGUUGUAAAGUACUUUCAGCGGGGAGGAAGGGAGUAAAGUUAAUACCUUUGCUCAUUGACGUUACCCGCAGAAGAAGCACCGGCUAACUCCGUGCCAGCAGCCGCGGUAAUACGGAGGGUGCAAGCGUUAAUCGGAAUUACUGGGCGUAAAGCGCACGCAGGCGGUUUGUUAAGUCAGAUGUGAAAUCCCCGGGCUCAACCUGGGAACUGCAUCUGAUACUGGCAAGCUUGAGUCUCGUAGAGGGGGGUAGAAUUCCAGGUGUAGCGGUGAAAUGCGUAGAGAUCUGGAGGAAUACCGGUGGCGAAGGCGGCCCCCUGGACGAAGACUGACGCUCAGGUGCGAAAGCGUGGGGAGCAAACAGGAUUAGAUACCCUGGUAGUCCACGCCGUAAACGAUGUCGACUUGGAGGUUGUGCCCUUGAGGCGUGGCUUCCGGAGCUAACGCGUUAAGUCGACCGCCUGGGGAGUACGGCCGCAAGGUUAAAACUCAAAUGAAUUGACGGGGGCCCGCACAAGCGGUGGAGCAUGUGGUUUAAUUCGAUGCAACGCGAAGAACCUUACCUGGUCUUGACAUCCACGGAAGUUUUCAGAGAUGAGAAUGUGCCUUCGGGAACCGUGAGACAGGUGCUGCAUGGCUGUCGUCAGCUCGUGUUGUGAAAUGUUGGGUUAAGUCCCGCAACGAGCGCAACCCUUAUCCUUUGUUGCCAGCGGUCCGGCCGGGAACUCAAAGGAGACUGCCAGUGAUAAACUGGAGGAAGUGGGGAUGACGUCAAGUCAUCAUGGCCCUUACGACCAGGGCUACACACGUGCUACAAUGGCGCAUACAAAGAGAAGCGACCUCGCGAGAGCAAGCGGACCUCAUAAAGUGCGUCGUAGUCCGGAUUGGAGUCUGCAACUCGACUCCAUGAAGUCGGAAUCGCUAGUAAUCGUGGAUCAGAAUGCCACGGUGAAUACGUUCCCGGGCCUUGUACACACCGCCCGUCACACCAUGGGAGUGGGUUGCAAAAGAAGUAGGUAGCUUAACCUUCGGGAGGGCGCUUACCACUUUGUGAUUCAUGACUGGGGUGAAGUCGUAACAAGGUAACCGUAGGGGAACCUGCGGUUGGAUCACC
rnacentral:rRNA from 1 species